AGUGAACGCUGGCGGUAGGCCUAACACAUGCAAGUCGAACGGCAGCACAGUAAGAGCUUGCUCUUACGGGUGGCGAGUGGCGGACGGGUGAGGAAUACAUCGGAAUCUACUUUUUCGUGGGGGAUAACGUAGGGAAACUUACGCUAAUACCGCAUACGACCUACGGGUGAAAGCAGGGGAUCUUCGGACCUUGCGCGAUUGAAUGAGCCGAUGUCGGAUUAGCUAGUUGGCGGGGUAAAGGCCCACCAAGGCGACGAUCCGUAGCUGGUCUGAGAGGAUGAUCAGCCACACUGGAACUGAGACACGGUCCAGACUCCUACGGGAGGCAGCAGUGGGGAAGAUUGGACAAAGGGCGCAAGCCUGAUCCAGCCAUACCGCGUGGGUGAAGAAGGCCUUCGGGUUGUAAAGCCCUUUUGUUGGGAAAGAAAAGCAGCAGGUUAAUACCCCGCUGUUCUGACGGUACCCAAAGAAUAAGCACCGGCUAACUUCGUG
rnacentral:rRNA from 1 species